rnacentral:rRNA from 1 species
GGACCGUGGUGCGGGACUCCGGAGAGGGAGCCUGAGAAACGGCUACCACAUCCAAGGAAGGCAGCAGGCGCGCAAAUUACCCAAUUCAGACAYUGAGAGGUAGUGACAAGAAAUAUCAAUAGGGGACCCUAUGGGUCUUCUAAUUGGAAUGAGAACAAGCUAAACAGCUUAUCGAGAAUCCAGCAGAGGGCAAGUCUGGUGCCAGCAGCCGCGGUAAUUCCAGCUCUGUAAGCGUAUACCAAAGUUGUUGCAGUUAAAACGCUCGUAGUCGGACUUUGGCAGUUCCGGAGGUGUGCGCGUCGAGCGCGCGCCUCGCAGGGACUGCUUUUGUGGUGUAGCAAAGGAUGAGGCACUUCAUUGUGAACGUCCCGCGCUCCCACUCUUUACUGUGAAAAAAAUAAAGUGCUCAAAGCAGGCAUUUGUCAUGAAUAUAUUAGCAUGGAAUAAUAGAAUAGGACUUUGUUCUAUUUUGUUGGUUUGUUGGAUCAAAGUAAUGAUUAAGAGGGACAGUUGGGGGCAUUUGUAUUACGGCGCUAGAGGUGAAAUUCUUAGAUUGCCGUAAGACACACUGCUGCGAAAGCGUCUGCCAAGGAUGUUUUCAUUGAUCAAGAACGAAAGUAAGGGGAUCGAAGACGAUCAGAUACCGUCGUAGUCUUUACUAUAAACGAUGAGGACUGGGGAUCAGGCGAGGAAUUACGAUGACCCGCCUGGCACCCUCCGAGAAAUCAAAGUGUUUGCUUUCUGGGGGGAGUAUGGUCGCAAGUCUGAAACUUAAAGGAAUUGACGGAAGGGCAUCACCGGGUGUGGAGCCUGCGGCUUAAUUUGACUCAACACGGGGAAACUUACCAGGUCAGGAUAUUUGGGAUGAUUGACAGAUUGAGAGCUCUUUCUUGAUUCUAUAGUUGGUGGUGCAUGGCCGUUCUUAGUUGGUGGAGCGAUUUGUCUGGUUAAUUCCGUUAACGAGCGAGACCUGAGCGUGCUAAAUAGGGGCCUCUACCAUUUUGGUAGUGCGAUUCCUCUUCUUARACGGACUGUGGGCGUCUAGCCCACGGAAGCUUCAGGCAAUAACAGGUCUGAGAUGCCCUUAGAUGUUCUGGGCCGCACGCGUGCUACACUGAGUGGAUCAGCGGGUCAGGUUGCGCGAGAGCGUUUCCUAAUCUUCAAAUCCGCUCAUGAUGGGGAUUGACAGUUGCAAUUUUCUGUCAUAAACGAGGAAUACCUUGUAAGCACGGGUCAUCAUCCCGUGCUGAAUACGUCCCUGCCCUUUGUACACACCGCCCGUCGCUCCUACCGAUUGAGUGGUCCGGUGAGGCUUUGGGAUCGCGAUGGAGGGA